GACAGAGGGUGCAAACGUUGUUCGGAAUUACUGGGCGUAAAGCGUGCGCAGGCGGCUUUGCAAGACAGAUGUGAAAUCCCCGGGCUCAACCUGGGAACUGCAUUUGUGACUGCAAGGCUGGAGUACGGUAGAGGGGGAUGGAAUUCCGCGUGUAGCAGUGAAAUGCGUAGAUAUGCGGAGGAACACCGAUGGCGAAGGCAAUCCCCUGGACCUGUACUGACGCUCAUGCACGAAAGCGUGGGGAGCAAACAGG
rnacentral:rRNA from 1 species